AGAGUUUGAUCCUGGCUCAGGACGAACGCUGGCGGCGUGCCUAAAACAUGCAAGUCGAACGGGGGCUUCGGCCCUAGUGGCGAACGGCGGAGUAAUACAUAAACAACGUGCCCUGAAGACCGGGAUAGUUACUGGAAACGGUGGGUAAUACCGGAUGUGGCUCUCGGAGGACAUCCUUCGAGAAUUAAAUGGUUUUUCGCUUCAGGAGCGGUUUAUGGCCUAUCAGCUAGUUGGUGGGGUAAUGGCCUACCAAGGCGACGACGGGUAGGGGGUCUGAGAGGAUGAUCCCCCCGAGUGGGACUGAGACACGGCCCACACACCUACGGGUGGCAGCAGUUGGGAAUCUUGCACAAUGGGGGAAACCCUGAUGCAGCGACGCCGCGUGGAGGACGAAGGAUUUAGGUCUGUAAACUCCUUUUUCAGGGAAAGACUUAGGACGGUACCCUGAGAAUAAGCACCGGCUAACUACGUGCCAGCAGCCGCGGUAAGACGUAGGGUGCAAGCGUUGUCCGGAUUUACUGGGCGUAAAGAGCGCGUAGGCGGUCUGUUAAGUGUGAAGUGAAAUCUCCAGGGCUCAACCCGGAAACUGCUUCGCAUACUGGCAGACUAGAGGGAUGCAGAGGUAAGUGGAAUUCCUGGUGUAGCGGUGACAUGCAUUGAUAUCAGGAGGAACACCCAUGGCGAAGGCAGCUUACUGGGCAUCAUCUGACGCUGAGGCGCGAAAGCGUGGGGAGCAAACAGGAUUAGAUACCCUGGUAGUCCACGCCCUAAACGAUGGAUACUAGGCGUAAGAGGUAUCG
rnacentral:rRNA from 1 species